AAGAGGAAGAGGAAGGAGCUAUCCAGUCCCCGGAAGAGGAAGGAGCUAUCCAGUCCCCGUAAGAGGAAGAGGAAGGAGCUAUCCAGUCCCCGUAAGAGGAAGAGGAAGGAGCUAUCCAGUCCCCGUAAGAGGAAGAGGAAGGAGCGCAGGACGUGUAGCGAGGCGCCCCCUACAGGACAGAUGUCCCAACUGCAGCCCUGAGUCUGAGGGGUGAUGGGAUCAGGUGAGGCCCUCGGGGAGAGGAGAAGACCCAGGUGUGUGUGUGUGAGGCUGUGUUGGUUCAGGAGAGGACCCAGAUGUGUGUGUGAGGCUGUGUUGGUUCAGGAGAGGACCCAGGUGUGUGUGAGGCUGUGUCGGGGAGAGGAGAGGACCCAGGUGUGUGUGAGGCCCCAGGUGUGUGUGUGAGGCGUGUCGGGGGCGGUGCAUUAGCUGGGGCGGAUCUCCAAACUGAGACAGAAUGAGAAGCAGGUGUGAAAGUGGAGACGCCCUCUGACCUCGACGUGUGAACUUUGACCUCCAUCUUGCUAAUCCUCACUAGAGCAGGACCAGUCGAGGCCACAAUACAGUACUUCUAUCUCCCUCUUCCCACACACACACACGCGCACGCUCACGCUCUUGUGGAGCAGAAUGAAGUCUGAGCUC
ensembl:lncRNA